CGGGUGAGUAAUAUAUAGAUAAUGUGCCUCUUAGUCUGGGAUAGCCAUUGGAAACGAUGAUUAAUACUAGAUACUCCUUCUAACUCUAAUGUUAGUCGGGAAAGUUUUUUCGCUAAGAGAUCAGUCUAUAUCCCAUCAGCUUGUUGGUAGUGUAAGAGACUACCAAGGCAAUGACGGGUAGCGGGUUUGAGAGGAUGAUCCGCCACACUGGUACUGAGACACGGACCAG
rnacentral:rRNA from 1 species